GCCGAGAGCCGGCGCACGCGCAGACGGCGACCCCCGCCUCCGGCUCCCGGUCCCUUCCCGGGCCCGGAGCGCGAGGCCCCGCCCAGGACCGCCGCGCGUCUGCAGGCGGGGCUCGGCCGCCUCUGGGUCCCGCUUGAAAUUCUGUAGAAGCCUGAAAGCUCGCGGAGCGCGGACUCCGAAUGCUUCCCCUGACGGGAAUGGAGUACCAAUCACUGGCACUAUUGGAAAAACUGAUAGAAGGCUGUGGAUUACAGACAGGUUAUUAUCUAAAGGAUGGCAUAUUCAAGCUGCUGUGAUGCAGCCUGAAGACGAGUACAAUUUUAUUUUAUCUAUUAUUUAUUUUAGGUCCACACAUGCAGCAUAUGGAGGUUCCCAGGUGAGGGGUCGAAUCGAGCUACAGCUGCCAGCCUACACCACAGCCACAGAAAUGCGGGAUCCGAGCCAUAUCUGCGACCUACACCACAGCUCAUGGCAGUGCCCAGGAAUCAAACCCCCAUCCCCAUGGAUCCCAGUUGGGUUCCUUAUCCACUGAGCCACAAAGGGAACUCCCGGACUAGUACAAUUUUAAAUGACGUUUCGCAGGAAACCCUUACUCCAAGUCCAUGAACAAUUUUUGAAUUGUUUGGGCAUCUUCUGCUUUCAAGAAAGUCAGUGAAGGGGGAGGAAAAUUAUCAAUUAACUUUGGUUCCAGGCAGACAGGUAUCAUUAGGUUUUUUAAACAGCAGCUGGGAAAUUCUCUUGCGGCGCAGUGGCUUAAGGAUCCAGUGUUUUCACUGCAGCAGCUUGGGCUGCUUCUGUGGUGUGGGUUCAGUUCCUGGCUGGCCUCCAUCCCUGGCUAGGGAAACUUCCACAUUAUGGUGCAGCCCCCCCCCACCAAAAAAAGGAGUAACUAGAAUUACUCUACUAACAAAAUCAGACGUUUGGGUCAUCUGACUUCAGGUAUUCACAUUUAGAGGACUAUCAGAAAUAUGCCUGAGAAACAUAGUGGUUAUCAGAUUUUCACUCACUUGACUCUUGGUUAUCGAUUUCGUAAGUGGAUUGAACAGAGGACCUUAACAAAGCAUCUCUGGAGGGCCAUUUAGGGCAAAGGACAGUGGGUCAGUGGGAUGCCGUCUGAAGGCAGGAAAUCAUCUAGACUAGGACUUUUUGAGUUCUCUUCCGGUCUAGUGACUUAGGUUGAGGAGACUGGAAAUUUGGCCCUUUAUACAACCUCUGAUUUUGGACUGUGUUCUUAUAAGCGCUCUCAGUUUUUCAGUGAUGUGUUAUAAGAAAAAUCUCAAAUUUGCAUCUUUUGGGGAAUUACCUGAAACCAUUUAGCAGGGUAGUACGUAAUUGUACCAUGAUAAUCAUUUUUCACGAUGAUUUCAUUGAGGCAGUGUAAUACCAUACAGCUUGUUUGAAACAUCAAGUUACUCAUUCAGAAAUGCUUCCUGAAUGUUUAUUACAAUAAGGCGCCAUUCUAAGUGUUGAGGAUAUAACAGGUGAACACAGCUGACAUCCCUGCCCAUUUACAGUUCACAUUCCAAUAGAAAAGGUAAUAAAUCUUCCAUUAAGUGGUAAUAAGUGCCA
ensembl:lncRNA